UGUCACAGGGCAGAGGGCACAAAACUCUCCAUAUUUUUAUGUGCUUUACACAGCUGGGGCAAAGCAAGCCUGGUGGAACAGAUUCUUCCUUGAUAGGAAGAAAUAGGGUGGGGUAACACAGGUGGGAUAAAACCUGGGGAGGGAUAGGAGGAGAGUGCCAGGGAUGGGAAAUCAGAGGUGUGAAGCUCGUGAAGCAUCCCCAGUGUCUCUUGCAUGCAUGGAGAUCCCUGCUCCACAUCUCAGUGUCCCUCCCCAGUUCCUGGUGUGAGCACAAAGCCAGGUCUCAUUGUGCUGAACUAGAACGUCAGGUACACAAUUCAAGUACUCAAAAGCUGGGAAAUGAAGAGAUGAAGACUGGACUCCUUUAAUUUAAACACCUGGAUCAGAAAACUCUUCACUGUGCUGCAACCAAAGAGGGAAAAAAUUAGGGAUAACUUCAUAUUAUGUGCAGAUUUAUAUCUGUGUUCCCACAGAUAGGAGGGAAGAAGGUAGGAGAAGAUUCCAGGGAUGAUUCCCAGGGUGGAGCUGGGAAAAUAAGUCAGAACAGUGACCCUUGGCUGCUGAGGCAAAAGCUGGCAGUGACUCCAGCCCCAUGUACCCUAAUUUUUGUCCCAUCUGGCUGUCCAAGACUCCAGCACCAGCAGGACCAGGACUUUUACUCCCCACCACACUCUUUCUCUAGGAGAUGGAUAAUUUUGUUCAUGCCUGAAGACACCCCUAGAUAUAAAUGAGGCUUGGGUGGUUUUCUUCUCCCAGGAACAAGUGACAGGACAAGAGGAAAUCACCUCAAGUUGCACCAGGGGAGUUUUAUUAGGAGGAUAUUAGGGCAAAUUAAAAUACAAGUUGAAAGCAAAUGUUGCUACAGAGAGAAGACCUUCUCUUUUUUUUUUUCUUUAUUCUCCUUCUUUCCUUCUCUAGCUUUAGCAUGGUAUUUUCUGCCACAUUUUUGUGAUUACUUUUAGUAAUAUCUUGCCAGAUCAUUGUUAGGAAUCAUCUUUACAAAAAUAGCAGCAAUAACUUGUUGUGGCUGAAUAGUGGGAUUCCAAUAAAUGAAAACCAGAGAAAAAUCCCAAACCAAAACCCUGCUCUUAAUCUUGGUUCCCUUUCUGUUUAUUUG